rnacentral:rRNA from 1 species
CUUACACAUGCAGUCGAGCGGGAUUGGCAGCAAUGCCAUGAGAGCGGCGCACGGGUGCGUAACGCGUAUGCAACCUACCUUAAGCAGGGGGAUAGCCCAUGGAAACGUGGAUUAAUACCCCAUAGUAUAUCAGAGUCGCAUGAUUUUGGUAUUAAAAUUCAGAUGGCAUAAGAUGGGCAUGCGUAGGAUUAGUUAGUUGGUGAGGUAACGGCUCACCAAGACAGCGAUCCUUAGGGGUUCUGAGAGGAUUCCCCCCCACACUGGAACUGAGACACGGUCCAGACUCCUACGGGAGGCAGCAGUGAGGAAUAUUGGUCAAUGGGCGAGAGCCUGAACCAGCCAUCCCGCGUGCAGGAAGACGGCCCUAUGGGUUGUAAACUGCUUUUCUAUUAGAAGAACAGUCCUUACGAGUUAAGGGAGUGACAGUAUAAUAGGAAUAAGCAUCGGCUAACUCCGUGCCAGCAGCCGCGGUAAUACGGAGGAUGCGAGCGUUAUCCGGAUUCAUUGGGUUUAGAGGGUGCGUAGGCGGGUUUGUAAGUCAGUGGUGAAAUACUGUCGCUUAACGAUAGGAUUGCCAUUGAUACUGCUGAUCUUGAGUAUGGUUGAGGUAGGCGGAAUGUGUUGUGUAGCGGUGAAAUGCAUAGAUAUGACACAGAACACCAAUUGCGAAGGCAGCUUACUAAUCCAUUACUGACGCUGAUGCACGAAAGCGUGGGGAUCAAACAGGAUUAGAUACCCUGGUAGUCCACGCUGUAAACGAUGUUCACUCGCUGUUUGCGAUACACAGUAAGCGGCUAAGCGAAAGCAUUAAGUGAACCACCUGGGGAGUACGAUCGCAAGGUUGAAACUCAAAGGAAUUGACGGGGGCCCGCACAAGCGGAGGAACAUGUGGUUUAAUUCGAUGAUACGCGAGGAACCUUACCUGGGCUUAAAUGUAGAUUGCAUAGGAUAGAGAUAUCCUUUCCCUUCGGGGCUAUUUACAAGGUGCUGCAUGGUUGUCGUCAGCUCGUGCCGUGAGGUGUCGGGUUAAGUCCCAUAACGAGCGCAACCCUUACCGUUAGUUGCCAUCGGGUCAAGCCGGGAACUCUAGCGGGACUGCCACCGUAAGGUGAGAGGAAGGCGGGGAUGACGUCAAAUCAGCACGGCCCUUAUGUCCAGGGCUACACACGUGUUACAAUGGCCGGUACAGAGGGCAGCUACUUAGUGAUAAGAUGCUAAUCCCAAAAGCCGGUCCCAGUUCGGAUUGGAGUCUGCAACCCGACUCCAUGAAGUUGGAUUCGCUAGUAAUCGCGCAUCAGCCAUGGCGCGGUGAAUACGUUCCCGGGCCUUGUACACACCGCCCGUCAAACCAUGGGAGCUGGGGGUACCUGAAGUCUGUGACCGCAAGGAGCGGCCUAGGUAAAAACCCAUGAAAGGG